AAGUCGUAACAAGGUUUCCGUAGGUGAACCUGCGGAAGGAUCAUUAAUAAUAGCGCAAGCUUUUAUCUAAAUACACCUGUGAACUAUUGCCUUCGGGCCAACAAACAUAAUCGUAACGAAUGUAAAUCAUUAUAAUAAAUAUAA
rnacentral:misc_RNA from 1 species